GUCCCCGUAGCUCAGUUGGAUAGAGCGUUUGCCUCCUAAGCGAAAGGUCGACGGUUCAAUUCCGCCCGGGGACGCCA
rnacentral:tRNA from 1 species